GACGAACGCUGGCGGCGUGCUUAACACAUGCAAGUCGAACGAUGACGCCCGAGCUUGCUCGGUCUGAUUAGUGGCGAACGGGUGAGUAACACGUGAGCAACCUGCCCUUCACUCUGGGAUAACCUCGGGAAAUCGGGGCUAAUACCGGAUAUGAGCUCCUGUCGCAUGGCGGGUGUUGGAAAGUUUUUCGGUGAAGGAUGGGCUCGCGGCCUAUCAGUUUGUUGGUGAGGUAGUGGCUCACCAAGGCGAUGACGGGUAGCCGGCCUGAGAGGGCGACCGGCCACACUGGGACUGAGACACGGCCCAGACUCCUACGGGAGGCAGCAGUGGGGAAUAUUGCACAAUGGGCGAAAGCCUGAUGCAGCGACGCCGCGUGAGGGAUGACGGCCUUCGGGUUGUAAACCUCUUUCAGCAGGGAAGAGGCGAAAGUGACGGUACCUGCAGAAGAAGCGCCGGCUAACUACGUG
rnacentral:rRNA from 1 species